rnacentral:lncRNA from 1 species
AGUGUUUGAUCUCGCCCACUCAAGUGUUUUUCUCAGAAUUUGGAUAGUCACACAAACAAGUUUCCACUCAAGGUUCUAAGAAGAACAGAUCAAAGAAUCCCAAUGGACAAUUUCCAAGCAAACAUAAGAGAAUUUCUUAAGAGAGAAAGAUAAGAGAUUUUGGUUUGGGAAUCCGUUUUAACCACCUCAAAGGGUAGAUUUCUCCUCAGCCAGCAGCCUUUCUCUUCCACCACCAAUCCACAAAUCAAACUUUUGAUUUCUUUUUUUGUUUUUCUCUUCUUUUUUUUUUUUUUAUAGAUCUUUUCUCUUUUUUUAUAUAUAUGGUGGAUGGUAAUGAGGGGCCCGGAUUCAAGAAAGGUAGAAGAAGAAGUGUUUAUGAAGAAUUGGAAGAUGAGAAGAUGGAAUGAUUCAGAAGAUACCAGAAGAGUAGCUAUGAUACCACUUGAAAGACCCUAGGAACGGAUCACUCUACUGGUUCUGUUUGGAUAUGAACUCUGGAUGGAGAACUGAAUGGAUUGAAGGGUCACAUGAAGGCUGCGGAAGGCCUCCGAUAUUCCCGACUCCAAAUGGUGUUUGAUAUGACUCACAAGACCACCAAGUGAAGGAUCUCUCG